AUCAAAGGCAAGGAAGUUGGACGGCAUUACACUAAGACAUAGGAGGAACCAAGCCCAUUUACUACUUACUUUUGGACAGAGCGUGACACGACUUACUCACUCACGAAGUUCAAAGUGAAAGGGUCCCUUCGAGCCGGCAGAAAAGGUAAAGCUAGAAUCCUCAAUUCGUACUUCUGGAAAGAAAAAGCCAGCAAUCACUAAAAGAAAAGAUAGGAAACCUGCGCACUUCAAUUUAACCUGAAUUAACGAAUGGCAGCCUAUGACAGGGCUUACCAAUGCAACUCCGAAGGCUGACAAAAUAUCUUAAAUAACUCGCCUGGGUGGGCUACUCGUCUUGAGGGAUAGGCAAGACCUACUCCUUAAGAACAUAUUUAGUGCGGUGUUCUUUCCAUUCGGCAUGCCGAUAGGGAACGAUCCAUAUUCAAUAUAGUUAGUAAUCCAAUUUCUCUAUUUUAUGGCUGCUAGCUCAGUCUUGGAGCGUGAUGCAAGCUCUGCUUUCGGGCUUUUGCUCACUCUGAGCAGGGUAGGGUGCUCUAUACCUUAUUUAUGUAAUUUUCUGCUUUUAGCGGAUUGGAUGCUUUCGAUUCCUUAG
rnacentral:misc_RNA from 1 species